rnacentral:rRNA from 1 species
GAUGAACGCUGGCGGCGUGCCUAAUACAUGCAAGUCGAGCGAACAGACGAGGAGCUUUCUCCUCUGACGUUAGCGGCGGACGGGUGAGUAACACGUGGAUAACCUACCUAUAAGACUGGGAUAACUUCGGGAAACCGGAGCUAAUACCGGAUAAUAUAUUGAACCGCAUGGUUCAAUAGUGAAAGACGGUUUUGCUGUCACUUAUAGAUGGAUCCGCGCCGCAUUAGCUAGUUGGUAAGGUAACGGCUUACCAAGGCGACGAUGCGUAGCCGCCCUGAGAGGGUGAUCGGCCACACUGGAACUGAGACACGGUCCAGAAUCCUACGGGAGGCAGCAGUAGGGAAUCUUCCGCAAUGGGCGAAAGCCUGACGGAGCAACGCCGCGUGAGUGAUGAAGGUCUUCGGAUCGUAAAACUCUGUUAUUAGGGAAGAACAAAUGUGUAAGUAACUAUGCACGUCUUGACGGUACCUAAUCAGAAAGCCACGGCUAACUACGUG